rnacentral:rRNA from 1 species
GUCCUAAGGUAGCGAAAUUCCUUGUCGGGUAAGUUCCGACCUGCACGAAUGGCGUAACGACUUCCCCAUUGUCUCAACCACGGACUCAGUGAAGUUGAAAUCCGAGUGAAGAUGCUCGGUAGCCGCGGAAAGACGGAAAGACCCCGUGGACCUUUACUACAACUUCGCUUUGAUUCCGGGGGCUGCAUGUGUAGGAUAGGUGGGAGGCUUUGAAGCCGGGACGCCAGUUUCGGUGGAGCCAACCUUGAAAUACCACCCUUGCAGUCUCUGGUCUCUAACUGAGGGCAGUGAAUCCUGUUCCAGGACAGAGCGUGGUGGGUAGUUUGACUGGGGCGGUCGCCUCCCAAAAUGUACCGGAGGCGCACAAAGGUGGGCUCAGCGUGCUUGGAAACCACGCGUCGAGUGUAAAGGCAUAAGCCCGCUUGACUGUGAGAGGGACACCUCGAACAGGGACGAAAGUCGGUCUUAGUGAUCCGGCGGUUCUGCAUGGAAGGGCCGUCGCUCAACGGAUAAAAGGUACCCCGGGGAUAACAGGCUUAUCUCUCCCAAGAGUUCACAUCGACGGGGAGGUUUGGCACCUCGAUGUCGGCUCAUCACAUCCUGGGGCUGAAGCUGGUCCCAAGGGUUCGGCUGUUCGCCGAUUAAAGUGGUACGCGAGCUGGGUUUAGAACGUCGUGAGACAGUGGACAUUAACGCGCUGUCUUAAAAUCUGGCUAUAUGCUGGAAAGCCUGGUAAGUAUCCCAAGUUACCAGUAUACUGAAAGUAAUAUAUCAAGUUCUGGAGAACCGGAGCUUGGGGUUAUUUAACUAUUAGGUAUGCGGUAAAAAUACUAUGGGUGCAGGUAACCAGCAGGGAAGGCCAGAUCCCUAUUAUCUUUCCGGUUAUAUCGCGGGGUUUGUUGAUGGCGAAGGCAGUUUUCACGUCGCAGUUCAAAAGAACCCAACUGCAAAAUUCAAAUGGCAGUUGGUCCCUGAAUUUCACAUCUCACAGCAUGUGUGUAAUAAACACGUGCUCGAGAUAAUUCAGGGGGCUUUAAACUGUGGCUAUGUCAAAGCCAAUCAUAAAACAAACGAACGUGAUCUGACCUGGGUGUUUGUCGUUAGAUCAAGAAAAGAUUUAAUUGAAAAGGUAAUACCAUUUUUUCGUCAAUACCCUUUGCAAACUUCCAAAAAAGACGAUUUUGAAACGUUUGCAGAAAUUGUAUUGGCAAUGAAUAGUGGUAUUCACCUGACUCGAAGUGGCCUAAGUGAUUUAUUAAAGAAAGCUUACUCAAUGAAUCGCUCUGGCCAAUAUCGACAAAUUCCACUGGAAAGAAUUUUAGAGGAUCUGGAACCCUCAGAGACUGUACGCCGGACAGUAUAGUCGCUCAACAUCUGACGAUGUUGCAGUGGUGUUUUGGAAGACUAUACUGAAGAUACAGUCCGAACUGCAUGGCGACAUGCAGAGGUAAGAUGAAAAUCUUAUCCGCCUUGAAUGCAUCAUUCAGGGUUUGUAGGGUAGUUAUUUAUGACUACCUGAAAGUAACAGAAUGUCGGUCCCUAUCUUCCGUGGCCGUAGGAGAUUUGAGAGGAGCUGCCCUCAGUACGAGAGGGCCGGGGUGGACGAACCGAUGGUGGACCAGUUGUCACGCCAGUGGCACAGCUGGGUAGCUAUGUUCGGAAUAGAUAACCGCUGAAAGCAUCUAAGCGGGAAGCUAGCCUCAAGAUCAGAUCUCCCUCCCUUCGGGGCUAAAGGCACGUUCGAGACUAGGACGUUGAUAGGCUGGAGGUGGAAGCGCAGCAAUGCGUGGAGCUGACCAGUACUAAUUUGCCGUGAGGCUUACUUUC